GAGUGGACAGCAGGGGGCAGGGGCAGGGGCAGGGCAUUUCUUGAAUCCUACUGUGCCCGCUUUGCCUAACUGUAGCAGGAGGAUGGAGAACGGUGCUCCAGCCCUGGACCCUGAGGCUGUCAGGAGCAAGGGUGGGAAUGAAGUCCAGAGUCCUUGGCUCUGCAGCCCCAAGGGAGAUGGAGAAAAGCUGGGCCCCUGGCCCAGACCUGUCAGGUGGCAGCACCUGGAGGGGCAAGGGCAUGGCCUCCAGCUUCCCCUGCCCACUCUCUCACCUCCCUGGGUGCUAACAGCAGGGCAGCAGGACACUUAGAGGUGUGAACCUGGUGCCACACCUCAGAGCUAGAGGGGAGGAGGGAGAAGGCAGAGGUGACACCUUCUUCUCUCAUUUACUCCCCCUGAUCCCUGCACCCCUUCCCACCAGAAGCUGGGGCACCAAGGAAGGGGGGGCAUCAGGAAUUAGGGGCAAAGAAAGCCAGAAGAGAGCCAAGAGGGGUCUAGGCAAGACACUAAAUAUCUUCCAGAUGUUACAAUUAGGGCAGAAACUUUGCCUCUUCCUUGUCCUCCCUCCCCCAAAAAGCCUGGCUACUAACCUAAGACACAGAGGAAAUAAAAGAUGAAGCUUCCUUAUUCUUAGUGCUGGGAUCCUAGAGAGACUGACCCUCCGUCUUCACCCUUCUCCCAAGAGCCCAGGGAGGGAAGGUGGCCCCACUGCCAGCAGACAGCAGGAGCAAAGUGCAGCCUUCUGGGGAAAGGCGGCUGGGAGGCUGGAAGGAAACUGGGCCAAGCAGACGAGCCCGAGCCCAAGCCAGGGAGAAGCGAGGUCACCUAUGGGUGCUUAAGUAGCAGUUGUGAUGGUGCUGGUGGUGGGGACCUGAGACCCGAAGGUGACAGAAAGAGAGAAACCAGGGAAAGGAGGAACAGACCAGGGCCAGAAAGCAGCAAGUGGGGCUAUGGGCCUCUGGGUUCCUUCUGCACCUGGGCAGCGCUAAAACUGGAUGAGGGAAUGUGUGUGUGCAACCCAGGCCUCCCCCAGCACAGGCCCUGGAUUAGUGGUGACAUUGAUGACAAUGGUGACAGAACAGAGAUGGCCAAGCAGCCAGUGGGUGCUUCCUGCCACCUGCUCUGGGCAGGUGUGGGGUUGAGCAUCUCUCAAAUAGGCAUGGAUUCUUUACAUUAUGGAUCAACUGCUAGGAUGUGGGCACUGGGCCAGGUCAAAGCAGGGUUUUGGAUGCCCCUGUUGUCCGGUCUUAACUCUUUCAUUGCAAAAGGGUCCCAGGCCAAAGGCCAGAGCUCUUGAGAAGUAGGGAAGUGGGCCAGUGAGCCCUUGUGGUCCAUGGGUCUGAAUCUUAGCUCACAAGGUGACUGUCUAUUCUACUGAAGGAGAACAAUUUGCCACUGUUGGGGAAUCUGCUCAAGGACAGGAAGCAGCAAAUCCCUGCCCCUGUUGAGCUUGUCUUUGAGGCGAGAAGAUAACUCAAGGAACAACUUCAGAGGUGUAUGAGCUAUGCAAAAAAUAAUAGGGAAGACACCUGGAUGAGGUGGCACUGCACCAAGGCCUGAAUGACAAGGAGGUGGUGUGCAGAGUGCCCAGGAGUCAGCACUCCGGACAGAGCCCUGAGAUGGCUACAAGGACACUAUGAAGAAAUUACCAGGACAUCAAAGGCACUGUGAAUUAAGAACAUCUCUGCACCAAAGCUAAUUUUCAUCUUACAGGAAAUAGGAUAGAGGAACAAGUUAAAAGACACUAUGAAGAACAACCAGGAAACCAGAAGGCGGGACAUCCUUGAAGAACAACCACCAGCCUAGUCUUUUCAAAAAGAAUCAAGAGCAAGAAAAAAAGUUUGGAAUGGCUACUUAUUAAGAGAGACUAAGCAGAUAGCAGCUGUUGGGAGUCGCCCUGGCUCCAAAGAUGGCGCCCACCGUGCUUCUCUUCCAGUACUAACUUCCUCAUGCCCGGAGUCAGCUGCGGGAAGGGCCGCCCAAUGGUGAGCCCUGCUGACCCUCAUGAUCCUUACCCACCAAUCAGAAAGCACACAGAGCCAAUACCCUGCUCUGUUGAACCGCCCCGGCUCUAUAAAUAUGUAAAGCUGUUCCUCAAUAAACGGGUAUUUCUCCGUGGA